AAACAUAUCGAUCGAUAGACUAUUGCAUAACUACAUAUUCUCCGUUGGUCUGUGUUCUUAAGCAAUGGCGAAAAAUAGCAUCUUCCAAGUGAUCAUUGUUUUACUUAUGGUGCAAGUCUGCUUGCUCAUGAUGAUGGCAGCACCGACAGCACAUGCAGGUGCUAGGCCAGUGGGGUACAAUCCAGUGUGUUUCCCUAGGAACAUUUACUGUUGCGGGUUCGGUGGCGCAUUCGCCAAUGCCACUGGUGGAAAAAGGGCCUUUGGUCGCGGUUCGCAACUGCCAUUAGUCGCGGUUGCGCAACCGCGACCAAAUAGGCGCGACUAAAGCCCCCCCCCCCUUUAGUCGCGGUUGCUUAAGAACCGCGACUAAAGGUCCGUCCACGUGGGCGCCAGGCGGCCGUCGGGGCGGAGGACCUUUAGUCGCGGUUCUUCUGGCCAACCGCGACUAAAGGCCGCCGCAGGUUUAGGGUUUUAGCCCCCCCUAAACCUGUUUNNNNNNNNNNNNNNNNNNNNNNNNNNNNNNNNNNNNNNNNNNNNNNNNNNNNNNNNNNNNNNNNNNNNNNNNNNNNNNNNNNNNNNNNNNNNNNNNNNNNNNNNNNNNNNNNNNNNNNNNNNNNNNNNNNNNNNNNNNNNNNNNNNNNNNNNNNNNNNNNNNNNNNNNNNNNNNNNNNNNNNNNNNNNNNNNNNNNNNNNNNNNNNNNNNNNNNNNNNNNNNNNNNNNNNNNNNNNNNNNNNNUUCUCCUUUAGGAUGGAGGACUUCCCUCCUGAACCAUCCAGCUAGUUCCUCUUGAAGUGGUCGGAAGCGAGCUUCUGGACUAAGCAUCAUCCGGAGGUUAUUCCUCUGAGCAUUGGUAUCACUCGGAACCCGCUCAGAGGUGUAUCUCCGGAUUAUCUCACAGACAUAGUAUCCACAUAGAUUGGUCCCCGCUGGCUGAAUAUCCCCACCAUUCUUAGCCUUUGACCUUUUGAAUUCUAGCUCUUUUUUGAAUUCACCGACCUUUGUAUCUACGAACCGUCUCCAAACCCUACGAGGCAAAGAAAAUUAAAUGAACAAGAGAGUUAUUAGUUACUUGAUAUUAGGAAAUGAACGAAAUAGGCCGAUCGAUAUAGAGCGCAAAUGAAUGAAAAUAAUUACUUCUGCAGCAUUCUUCUCAUGCCGCCCCAAAGCUUUGGAUCCAUAUUCAGAGAGUCGUGGACGAGACAUUCUGAGGUGUCAACUUUAAUUACUAGCAGAAUCCAGUGGAACCUGCGGACACGAUACAUGCACAUUACGUCAUGCAUAACUCAUCGAUUAGCCGGCCACAUACCAUGCAUGGAGUAAACAAAAGAGAAUGUGCUCAAGACAGAAACACUCACCCAAAAUGGUAAGGAAAUAGAAUAUCACUUUUGAGUUCCUGCUUUGUAAGAAACUGCCACAGGUCUGCCUCCAUGUCGGCGGGGUGAUGCUCCAACACAUAUCCAUUAACGAUGUGUGGGUCAAUGAACCCAACAUCAUGGAUGUUCCUUACUCUGCAUUCCUUAAUCUUCAUUCUGCAUGUAUAAUAGCGGACACAACAAUAUAGUUAGGACAUAUAUAUAGUGCAGGCAAUAUGAACGAGAUGGGGUAGAAAUAAAUCACUUAUAGAACGUAGCAACUGAUGAUAGAUUUGUCGAGCUCGCGCAGAUUGAAAAGCUGGAACAAUUCACUCAGAUGAAUUUGUACAUAGUAAUGUUUGAAGUGAUGCUCAUAUCUAACUUCCGCAUAAAUAUAUUCUUUGGCGUUUUUAUUUUUUAUGUAACCCUUGUACCAUUUCAGCAGACCUUUCAUUUGUGGAGGUAGAUCCUCUUCCUGCGCAGGCUCGACGAGAGGCCCAUUCUUCACAUAUGUAAUUACUACCUCCUUCACUGGUGCCUCAUCAAGGCCUAACAGUUCACGAAGAGUAAUACCUAAGUUGGCCGCUUUUUCUCUGGCACUCGUUACAGUCAAUCCAUGUGCUGCCGCAGCUGCUAUGAUAUCGGGGUCAUCCGGACCGGCGGCUUUCACUAUAAGCGGGGCAAUCGAUUAUUUACUUUGUUCCCCGAGCUGGGCAACUCGUUUCCCGCUUUUUUUACUUUCUAAUUCUGUUUUCUCGGCCUCCUCCAAGGCUUUGUUCUCCUGGUUCUCCGCCCGCUCUUUCUUCUCCUUCAACAUGAGUGCCUGCCUACGAAGUUCACGUGCAUAGUCGUCAGGCAGAUUCUUCGCGGCUUGGGACGGUGUGCUCAAAAAUGACUUAGCCCACUUCUUUUGCUCAUCAGAAAAUACUGGCUUGGGCUCGGGCUCUCUUUUCUUCUUGCAGUCCGCCUUCCAUUUCUCAUGAUCAGCAGCCGCGGCCGCGGCAGUUUCCUCGGCACUACGUUCCCAAGGCCUUGUGGGGAGAGGCUUCAGUGAUGGCUCCGGUACCUUUGUGGUCUUAGGUACAUAAGGGUCCGGGUUAAUAAUCCAGGACUGCUUCUGCUUCUUUGCCGGAGGUGGAUUGGGGGGCGGCGUCUGAUCACCCGCCGGACGAGGACUGGGGGGCGGCGUCUGAUCACCCGCCGGACGUUGUGGACUGGGGGGCGUAGGCUGACGUGACGGAGGUGUAGGUGAACCGCCACCACCACCACCACCACCACCACCGCCACCGCCACCACCACCACCGUAGGGGGGUGGACUUGUUGUCCUUGGUGCCUCGCCUGGAAACUUGAUAAACUUCUUUUGCCAUAGAAUGAAAUGGCGCUUGACAUCUCCAAGUCUUUUCUCCCCUUCAGGUGUAGCAAUGUCAAUCUCCAGGUCCUCAAACCCUUGGACUAUGUCCUCCACCGUGACACGAGCAUAGCCAUCUUGAAUGGGGUUGUUGUGGUGGAGUGCUCCAGGUAAACAUGGUAAAGCACUGCCGAUGGCUACCUUCAUGGACAUGUUCCCGAUAGGAUAAUACAUAUGACAUUCUUUCAUCUCCUUUAUAUCGUCCACGGGGUAGCGAGGAGGCUCCGGUGCAGUAAUUUCGACCACCAGAGGCUCCGGUGCAGUAAUUUCGAUCGUCGGUGCAUCUGCACCAGCCGGUGGGGCCUCCGUGGAAGCCACGCUGCUUCUCCGCUGCUGGCUUCCGAGAUCCGCUGGAUGAUCUUCAUGCUGCGCCCGAGCUGCAUCUCUUUCGGCUACUAGUACACUCACGGUUUUCUUCAUCACAUCCAUUUCCGAUGCCAACCGCGCCACAACAUCUGCUUCCCGAUCCAUCUUUCUCUUCCGGCUUCUGUAACCGUACGGGUCAUCGUUCUAGGGGAACCCUAUUUUCCACGGAAUGUGCCCCAUGCCUCGUACAUGUCCUCCGUGUUCAGGAUUCCCGAGGGCUUUUGCCAGCGCGUCGUUCUCUCUGUUGAACUUGAUCUUCCCCUCUUGAGCAUCCCUCAUUGCGUCAAUAAGGGCUUGGGUGGGUUUAAUUAUUUUGCCCCGGUAAACACACUCCCCUGUCUCCGGGUUCAGCGUUCCCCCAUGCCCGUACCACUAGCUUUUGGCCCUUGGGUCCCAUCCCUCCGUACCUGGACGGAUUCCUCGCGCCCUCAGCUCGUUCUCCAUCUUCUCCCACCUAGGCUCCCAAAGGCGAUACCCUCCUGGCCCCAUAAUAUGAUUGUACUCCUUCUUAGCCGCAUUUUCCUUAUUUUUUUCGAUAUUUGAAUGAACUGCUCCGAUUUCUUUUGCUUCACAAAUUCUGGCCAAUCAUGUUUCAGUUUCUCAUAUUGUCCUUUGAAAUCCGGAGUCUUGUUCUUCUUGACAAAGUCAUGGGCUAGAUUUUGCUUGAAUUUCUGGAAUGCGUCGACCAUCUUAUGAAGAGCGAACUGUUUGACUAGCCUCCUCCUCUCCUUGUUUUCCUCAAUCUUGUUACCCUCCUCAUCGAAUUUGUUGUAUUCCGGAGGUAGAACGAAAUGUUCCAUAAGCUUCUUGAAGCAAUCUUUUUUUGUUCUCUUAUCGACAAAAGUGAAACCAGCAAUUCGUGCCUUCUUUGGCUUAUUCCACUCCUGGACGGUGAUCGAGACGUUGUCUCUAACAACGGCUCCGCAUUGGUUGACAAACUUGGUGGCGUUCUUGCGGGGCUCCAGCGGCCUGCCGGUUGCACUGUCGACAACCUCGAUGGUGCAUGUUUCUCCUUGUUUCAUCGUCUUGGUUGCGCCACGCUUUGACGACGUACUCGAUUGUUUCGACGAUCCGGCCGAGGGAUAAAAUAAGAAAGAGAGUCGCGCGCGUUAGUACACAAAUAUUUAUUCAAAUCAGUUAGUUUGUAUCACCAGAGGCUCAAUGUAUAUAUAUACCUCGGCGCCGGAGGUGGUUGCUACUUCCAUUUGAAGAUCGUCGUUUAUCGACGUUUGUUCGGCAUCAUCUUGCUGACGGCGCCCUUCAUCUUCACCGUCAAGGUUCAGAUAAGAAGAGAUAUCAUCUUCUUCUUGUCCGGUCGGCACAUAUAGAAUAUCGCCGUUUAUGAUGCCGAACAUAUGUGCUUCACCGUCCGGAUCAUAGUUGUCUAUAAUCGGGUCAGCUCUAUCGUCCGCCAUUAUGUCAGUCCUGAAAACAUGUAGUAAAAACAAAUUAAUUAAGUGAAGAAGGGGGGCGGUGGCGGUGGCAGUGGCGAAAGGGCGGUGGCAAAAGGAGGGGGCGAGGAAGGGGUGGGAGAGGGUGUCGUGGUAGAGCGCGAGACGGGGCGGCAGACGACGGCGUCACGGAGAGGGAGGCCAGGACAACACACAUGUAUAACCCUCGCCGCCCCCUCUCGAUCCCAAAAAAAACACCGCGCGCAUCGCCGCCCCCCUCGCCGCCCCCUCUCCGUAUAUGCGCGGGGUCGUGUACAUUUUUUUAUAGCGGGAUCGUUGUACAUUGACGCGCGGGGUCGUUGUAUAUAUUGAUUAUCAAGUUUUACUUUUGUUGUUGUUAAUUAUCAAGUUUUAUAUACGUUUUUUUGUUAAUUAUCAAAUUUUACGGUUUUUUUUGUUAAUUAUCAAGUUUUAAGUUAUUUUACCAUUUUUGUUAAACUAAUUAACUAGUUAAAAUUAAAAAGAACAAAAAAAAGAAAAAAAAGAAAAAAUUCCGGUGGCCCGCGGCGCCCCUCUUUCUCUCCACGAUCUCGCUCUCUGUCUGAGAGAGGCGCGCGCGUGCGCGCACGGCAGUACCGAGGCCGGCCGGCGGCGUUGAGGGCGGGCGAGCGAGGCGGCGCGCGCGCGGUGGGCGAGGGAGGCCGGUNNNNNNNNNNGCGCAACGACCUUUAGUCGCGGUUGGCCAGGCCAACCGCGACUAAAGGUAUUUUUCAAAAUACUUUUUCUUUUUCAAAAUCUUAAAAAUACAAAUAAUAUAUCAAAAAAUUCAGAAAAAUAAAACUAAUUCAAUUCAAUAUGUUAAAAACACAAAUAUUAUAUCAAAAAAUUCAGAAAAAUAAAACUAAUUCAAUUCAAAAUUCUAAAAAUACAAAUAAUAUAUCAAAAAAUUAAGAAAAAUAAAACUAAUUCAAUUCAAAAUGUUAAAAAUACAAAUAAUAUAUCAAAAAAUUCAGAAAAAUAAAACUAAUUCAAUUCAAAAUUUUAUACGCCUAGGCAGGAGUACGACAGCGACGACAGCAGCGACGACGACGGCGUCAACUUAGAAGGCGACGACUACCAGUACAACGGCGGCGGCUAUGAAGACUACGAGUAUGCAUAUUAUACGCCUAGGCAGGAGUAUGACUAAAUCACUCCAAAUUUCAUGUAUCAUCAAUGGUAUCUCGAAUCAUUCGAAAAUGGACACCAAACACAUUACGGGUAAUAUAAUUCACAUGAUCCAUUCAACCAAGUUUGGUACAAUAAAUUAUUACACAUCAUUUCUUCCCUUGUGUCCCUGCUUGCUUACGAUUGUGCCGUAUCCAUGGAGCAUCCUCAUCAUUUAACUUAAUGCUUGGGUCGGUGUUCACUUUGAAGGGCGGAAUUUCAGCAAACAUAUUAUAAUCUUCUGACAUGUCUGUCUUGUCCUCCACUCCCACGAUAUUUCUUUUCCCUGAAAGAACAAUGUGGCGCUUUGGAUCAUCGCAUGAUGUACUGAUCGUUUUCUUAUCUUUCCGUUUCCUCGGUUUGCUACUCAUGUCCUUCACAUAGAAAACCUGAGCGACAUCUUUCGCUAGGACGAAUGGUUCGUCAAGGUAACCAAGAUUGUUGAAAUCCACCAUUGUCAUUCCGUAUUGCUGGUCCACCUUUACCCCACCUCCUGUUAGCUUGAACCAUUUGCACCGGAACAAAGGGACCUUAAAGGAGGGUCCAUAGUCAAGUUCCCAUAUCUCCUCUAUGUAACCAUAAUAUGUGACCUUUUGCCCAUUCUCGGUUGCUGCAUCAAAGCGGACACCACUGUUUUGUUUGGUGCUCUUUUUAUCUUGGGCGAUCGUGUAAAAUGUAUUCCCAUUUAUCUCGUACCCUUGGAAAGUCGUUAUAGUCGAAGAUGGUGUCUUGGCCAACAUGUACAGCUGAUCUACAACAUCAUUGUCAUUCAUUAAAUGUUUUCUCAACCAACUGCCGAAAGUCUCCAUGUGGGCCUUCCUAAUCCAGGAUUCAGGCUUCCCCGGGUUGUCCGAGCGUAAAAUAUUCUUGUGUUUCUCAAAGUACGGAGCCACCAAGCUGGAAUUGGUCAGUACAGUGUGGUGUGCUUCAGUCAGAGAAUGGCCGUCCAUACAUAUCAUUGAUUUCCUUCCGAUCGUGCCUUUUCCACUUAGUCUCCCCUCGUGCCGCGAUCGAGGAAGACCAAUCGGCUUAAGGUCAGGAACAAAGUCAACACAAAACUUAAUUACCUCCUCAUUUCCAUAGCCCUUGGCGAUGCUUCCUUCUGGCCUAGCACGGUUACGAACAUAUUUCUUUAAUACUCCCAUGAACCUCUCGAAGGGGAACAUAUUGUGUAGAAAUACAGGACCGAGAAUGAAAAUCUCUUCGACUAGGUGAACCAAGAGGUGCUUCAUAAUAUUGAAGAAGGAUGGCGGGAACACCAACUCGAAACUGACAAGACAUUGGAUCACAUCGUUCUGUAACCAUGGUAGAACUUCUGGAUUGAUUACCUUCUGAGAGAUUGCAUUGAGGAAUGCACAUAGCUUCACAAUGGCUACUCGAACAUUUUCCGGCAGGAGCCCCCUCAAAGCAAUCGGAAGCAAUUGCGUCAUAAUCACGUGGUAGUCGUGAGACUUCAGGUUUUGGAACUUUUUCUCCGCCAUGUUUAUUAUUCCCUUUAUAUUGGACGAGAAUCCAGACGGGACCUUCAUACUGCUCAGGCAUUCAAAAAAGAUGACCUUCUCUUCUUUGGUCAGAGCGUAGCUGGCACGACCUUGAAACCAUUCCGGAUGCCGGUCAUCAGGGUCUUUCAAACGUUGCUGGUCCUGCCGUGCUUCCUUUGUAGCAUUUGUCUUCCCAUACACGCCCAAGAAGCUUAGGAGGUUCACGCUAAUAUUCUUCGUAACGUGCAUCACGUCGAUUGCAGAGCGGACUUCUAGGACUUUCCAAUAUUCUAGCUCCCAGAAUAUAGAUUUCUUCUUCCACAUGGCUGCGUGCCCGUCAGCUCCCUUCGGAACUGAUUGUCCGCCAGGACCCUUUCCAAAGAUGACUUUCAAAUCCUUGACCAUAUCAAAUACCUCAGCACCAGUGCGUUCCGCAGGCUUCGGCCGGUGAUCUGCCUUGCCGUUGUAAUGCUUGCCUUUCUUUCUUACUGGAUGAAUUUUCGGAAGAAAUCGACGAUGCCCAAGGUACACGUUCUUCUUACAAUUUGGCAAAUGUACACUUUCAGUCUCAUGUAAGUAGUGCGUGCAUGCAUUGUAUCCCUUAUUUGACAGUCCCAAAAGGUUACUAAGAGCAGGCCAAUCGUUGAUGGUUACGAAAAGCAACGCUCGUAGGUUAAAUUCCUCUUCUUUGUGCUCAUCCCACACACGGACACCAGGUCUGCCCCACAGCUGUAAAAGUUCAUCAACUAAUGGCCUUAGGUACACAUCGAUGUCGUUGCCAGGUUGCUUCGGACCUUGGAUGAGCACUGGCAUCAUAAUGAGCUUCCGCUUCAUGCACAACCAAGGAGGAAGGUUGUAGAUGCAUAGAGUCACGGGCCAGGUGCUAUGGCUGGAGCUCUGCUCGCCAAAAGGAUUCAUGCCAUCUGUACUUAGACCAAAUCUUAUGUUCCUUGCGUCAGCUGCAAAAUCUUUGAACUCUCUGUCGAUCAUUCUCCAUUGCGUUCCAUCUGCGGUGUGUCUCAACUCCCCGUCCGACUUACGGUCCUCUUUGUGCCAUCUCAACAACUUGGCAUGCUCUUUGUUCCUGAACAGACGUUUCAACCGUGGUAUUAUAGGAGCAUACCACAUCACCUUGGCGGGAACCCUCUUCCUGGGUUUCUCGCCCUCAACAUCGUCACCAGGGUCAUCGCCUCUGAUCUUAUAACGCAAUGCAGUGCAUACCGGGCAUUCAUUCAAAUUCUCGUAUUCACCGCGGUAGAGGAUGCAGUCGUUGAUGCAUGCAUGUAUCUUCAGAACCUCUAAACCUAGAGGGCAGACAACCUUCUUUGCUUCGUACGUACUGGCGGGCAACUCGUUAUUCUUUGGAAACAUAUUCUUCAACAUUUUCAGCAAGUUUUCAAAUGCCGAGUCAGCUACACCUUCCUGUGCCUUCCAUUUCAGCAAAUCCAGUGUGCAGCCCAGCUUUUUCAGACCAUCAUCGCAUCCGGCGUACAACGACUUUCUGUGAUCCUCUAACAUGCGAUCCAAAUUCUCCCUCUCCUUUUCAGUUUCGCAGCGUCUCCGUGCAUCAGCAAUGGUCCGACCAAGAUCAUCAACGGUCUCAUCACGUGCCUCUUCUUCACCUUCACCUUCCCCUUCACCUUCCCCUUCACCUUCAGCAUCCUCCAUGAAAGUAUCACCGAAAUGAGCAAGAUAGCUUUCAUCGAUGAAAUCAUCCCCUUCUUCAUCUUCUUCCAUUAUAACCCCUCUUUCUCCAUGCUUGGUCCAACAAUUAUAGCUUGGCAUGAAACCGUGCCGAAGCAGGUGCAGGUGAACUUCUCUUGAGGAAGAGUAACCCUUCUGAUUCUUACAGUCAACACAUGGACAGAUAACAAAACCCUUCUGCUUGUUCGCAUUAGCCACUACGAGGAAAUCUUUCAAACCCGUAGUGAACUCGUGGGAGAGUCGGUUACCGUACAUCCAUUGCCGAUUCAUCUGCAUUAUUAUAAUAUAAAAUAUAUAAUUAACCAUCAUGCAUUUGUUAAACUAACUAGCUAUAAACAAUAGAAAUUAAACAAUGAACAACACACAUGCAUAUUUUAUCAAUGACACACAUGCAUGAAAGGUUCAAGUUGCUAACCGCGAUCGAGGAGGAAAAAAUAAAUGAGGAACCUCAAGUGUGGCUCCAACACUUCAUAUCAUGUUUGUUUCACGCUCUUGGGGCAUUUCAUCAAACACCUUGUGUGCAUAAGAGGAACCAAAAGCAAACCUACACCCCCUUGUGAAGCUUGUGAAGAGAAGUGGCACCAAAUGGCUAAGUGAGUGUGCUGAACUGGUAUAUAUAGGGGAGGAGCUUUAGUCACGGUUGGCCUGGCCAACUGCGACUAAAGGCCUUUGGGCACCUUUAGUCGCGGUUGGCCUGGCCAACCGCGACUAAAGCCCCUCACGUGCACCAGCUGGCCACCGAGCGCCCUGGGCCCAGUCCUUUGGUCGCGGUUCGUCUGCCGAACCGCGACUAAAGACUUCAUUAGUCGCGGUUCCUACAGUUUCGCGACUAAUGGGGCUGGACGGAAGCCUCUUUUUCUACCAGUGCACCCGCGCCAUCCAUUGAGCCAUGAUGUGUGGUUUUAUUCUCCUCGCGGUAGUAAGCUUGGCAUAUAAAUGAUAUAUGUAGUGUUAUUGUUUCAUGUGUUACCUAUUCCCGAAUAUUUGUGAUGCUAUUUUCAAGAAUAUAUUGUACUAGCUACUUACCUAAUAAAAUUGGAGGAGAUUAUUAUAUAUAUAGUUUUAAAUAUACUGCAAAGAGAUUCAAAUUUAUGUUUACUUUAGUCCUUUUGGAAACAAGAUUACUUGGC
rnacentral:lncRNA from 1 species